UACGAAGAACCUGGAGUGAGAUGAGUGGUGAUGAUUCUUUCUCUAGAGUGUGAAUCCUGAUGGUACAUCGGGUACAUCCUGACAUAUGACUUGUACUGCUAGGAAAGGACACAGGAGAGAAGAGAGUCCUCUGCUUCAGCUGAAAUUAUUACAAGGGGCUGGAAAGAGGUAUUAUUUGUAGAAAGUAUGCAAGGAUCAGCAGUAAAUGAAUUUGAAGCAAAGGUGAAGCAAACUUUCAAGAAACACCAUGAAACUGCAAACUGGUGAUUACACUACACAAGAAGAGAUCCUAGACCAUCAUGGCAUAAAGAUGAUUAGGUACUUCUCUAUGGAGGAUGAGACUCCAGUGGUUUUGUUCUUCCCUGAGGUCUGACUGAAGAGGUUGGAGUUUUUUGUGAAGGAAAGUACCAAAGAGCAACUGAUCUGUUUCCCUUCAUAAAUCUUGAAGGCUUGACAGAUGGGCCGAAAGCACUGCAGACGUUUGAACAAGGAAAUAGAGAGGGAGCCUGCUGGAAGCAAGGCUUCACGCAGCCAGCCGCGGAUGAUGAAUAGAGUGUGAUUGUGUCUGACAGGUGAUUAGAAAAUGUUGGCCUGUUGUUACGACUAAGAGGGCUGCUGUCAUGUGCUUUUCACCCUGUGUUUUGCUGUGAAGGAAAUAUUGUUAAGAAUUGAAGAAUAAAGUUCUUUUGGGACCAUAAUGUCUACAUCCAAAUAUUAAAGAGACAAAGAUUUGUAUCAAGAAUAUAACCUCUAAGUAGUAGAAGAGAAAGCCUGCGUCUAAAGGGUGACCUCAGACAGGACAACACUCUCCAGGCGACCUGGAAAAGCUCCAGAACAGGACUCCUGAUAGCUGAUCUACCAACACUGGAGGAAUUAACUCGUGCAUGGCUGUGGCUGCUGAACUUCUGCCCCUGGGAGAACAGUGCUCCUGUGACCCAAAGAGAAGAUCCACAGUGAUGUGAAGCUCCAUCUCCUUGUGCUCGCUGCACAGAUGAUCUUUGCUCAUUUUUUUCACAUGAGGAAGGCAGAAUGACUGUCAGUACUGAAAUUGUACUGUGCAGUCAUUUGUUUUUGCAAAAAGGAAAAUUCUGCACAGUGGAGCUAUGGCAAAUAUGUAUGUGCUCCUCAGCUCAUAUUACAAUAAUUACAAUGUUUAGCAAUGGGUCAUUGAUGUUGCGUGUCAGCAGAUGAGUAAUGUUUUUGAUGAUGUUAAUGGACACCACGAAAAUUUUCAAGCAGUGCAUUCAUUUGACUUGUUUUCCUCACCUGCCCACAAAUUUCUUUAAUUUCAGAUAGACCUCAUACAGCACAGCAAAAAAUAUCACAGCUGCAAGCACUGAGAGAUGAAAUACUGGCUGGGAAGUUGGGACAGUUGUUUCAGACAAGCACAGAACUGUUUGGGUGUUAUGAUUAAUAUGGAAAAUAUUUUAAGCUGGCCCAACAAACCGGGGCAUAAGCCUUUCUAUGAGAUGUAUUUAAACUGGUGCACUUAGAGUGAACAAACUAGAUUGAUGUAAUGUCCCCGCGUAGACAUGCCCUUGCUCUGCUUGCCUCCGUGCUUUGAUCUGAGAUCAGGGAGCGAGAUGAAAGCAGAUCAGAGAGUGCUCCCUAUUGUACCUCUGUAAGUGAUCACAUCUAUCUUCAUGUGAUGCCAUGGCAGCUGAGGCCAGCUCAGGUGGCAGAGCUGAUUUCCCACAGUUAUAAAUGCAAAGGGACUGUGGGCAGGGAAUUUCAAUGAGGGACACUUGAUUUUGCAAUGUCAACCAGCAGGCCCUCAGUCAGCUGAUUUAAUCUUCUGCACUGCCUAUCCAUUUAGCCACGUUUUUGGAAAGUGGUUUCAUUAGAGGCAGUCGUAAAGAUGUAGGUCCUUUGUUUAUUUCAUGUCAUGGGACAGAAUAGUUACUUCAGUGACAGAAAAAUUAGGUGUAGUUGCUUAAAAUGAAUAUCACUGUUCUGACACAAAAGAGAGGAAGUGAACAGAAUGUAAUUGAUUACUGUUACUAAUGGAUAUGCUACAUGGAAAAAUGAAUAUAUAUUGUUGAUAGAUCUAUGUAAACACAAAAAAAUUACUUAUUUGCUUCUUCUAGUAGCCAUGUAUAGAUGUUCUAAUGCCAAAUACAUGUUGGGAGUUCUAUAGAAAUACUGUCUUCCACUGAAAGAGCCUAAGUAUUGACUAUGCAUCUAUAAUCAUCUUGCUUGGCUAAACUCACAGUAUGAUGUCUUUUACUUCAGAAUGAAAUCUUUACAUUUCCUACUGAAUGUGGUGCGGAGGAAGUAGUAAAAUCUUGUUCUGAGUUUCCAAAAUCUGCUAGAAGAUGUAAUGCAUCAGCUUUUGCUGGAAAACCGCACUGCUGGAACACAAAUCACAGCCUUUUGCAGAAAAUGCUGAAAUUAACCCAAUGAUUAUAAGUUCUAUUAAAAAAGCAUUUUUAUUUUUCUGCUGUCUGUGGAUACAUUCACAUGGAAGUAAACUUCAUUUUGCACUUGAUAAGUUUUUGCAUUAAUUUUUUUAUUGUUUGUACAAUAACAUGGAUUUAGUCUUUGCAAUCUUUUAGUGUAACCAUCCUUCACAACAAGAAUUUUUGUCUAUUCCAGCAGUGUAAAUGGAAAUAAGAGAGCAUAUAUAAUUUUUAAUUAGGUCUUUUAUUGCCAUGACUGAAUAAGGGUCAAAAGCUUCAAAUAUUUUACAGAUUAUUUAUUUGUGCAAGAAAAUAUCCAGUUAUCUUGUCUGUUGAUUAUUCCUGAGAAUUGUAGACUUAGAUCUAGAAAAAGAGCUUAUCUAAUGUUUAGAAAGAGUAUUAGCAUUUCAAAUCAGUUCCUGCAACUAAUUUGUUUUCCUCUACUGCCAUUGAUCAAACUUUUCCAUGUCAAACCAGUAUGUCAAAACAGAAUUGAAUAACUUGGAAAUAUGAAUAAAUCUAUUCAGACUGUUCAUUCUGUGGCAGUGGUUAAUAACAGUUGUUUAAAAGCCUCAAAAUGACCUGAGUUGGAAUAAUUCCCUGUUCUGCAGUGAAUGAAAUUAUAUUUUGAGUAUUAGAAAAUAAAAGGAGAUCUUGAAC